CCUCUUAGCAUCAGCAUCAAUUUAAUCUCAAAGCCACUUUCACAGUUCGAACAGUAUGAGGGUUGAAAGCUUCUUUAACAUACUAGUCUACUUAGUAAUCUCAAUGCUUGCAGCGGUGGGUGCGCAGGCCACAAGCAAAAAUGUGAUGUGUAAUCCAAUGGCCUGUCCAAAAGUGGGACCUUAACUUUAAUGGUGACAAUAUUAAAACUCUGAAUAAUAAAACAAAUUAUUGAUCCACGAA